rnacentral:rRNA from 1 species
UAGUCCACGCCGUAAACGAUGUCAACUAGCCGUUGGGACCUUGAGGUCUCAGUGGUGCAGCUAACGCGUGAAGUUGACCGCCUGGGGAGUACGGCCGCAAGGCUAAAACUCAAAUGAAUUGACGGGGGCCCGCACAAGCGGUGGAGCAUGUGGUUUAAUUCGAUGCAACGCGAAGAACCUUACCUACCCUUGACAUUGACAGAAUCCAGUAGAGAUACAGGAGUGCCUUCGGGCCUGGAAAACAGGUGCUGCAUGGCUGUCGUCAGCUCGUGUCGUGAGAUGUUGGGUUAAGUCCCGCAACGAGCGCAACCCUUGUCUUUAGUUGCCAUCAUUAAGUUGGGCACUUUAAAGAGACUGCCGGUGACAAACCGGAGGAAGGUAAGGAUGACGUCAAGUCAGCAUGCCCCUUAUGCUCUGGGCUACACACGUGCUACAAUGGCCGUGACAAAGAGUUGCUACUUUGUGAAAACAAGCUAAUCUCAUAAACGCGGCCUCAGUUCGGAUUG